ensembl:processed_transcript
CCCGGGGCCGGUGGCUGGCCGCUGCGCCUGGCGGGGUGGGGCGGGAUGGCGGCGUCCGCGUGGCUGGAGGCCGGCCUGGCCCGGGUGCUCUUCUACCCGACGCUGCUCUACACAGUGUUCCGGGGGAGGGUGCGCGGCCCGGCGCACCGCGACUGGUACCACCGCAUCGACCACACGGUCCUGCUGGGCGCGCUGCCGCUGAAGAACAUGACGCGCCGGCUGGUACUGGACGAGAACGUGCGCGGGGUGAUCACUAUGAACGAGGAGUACGAGACCCGAUUCCUGUGCAACACCUCGAAGGGGUCUUAAGUCCUGAUCCGAUUCUCCUGCCUCCACUUUCCAAGUACUGAGAUUACAGGAAUGGAAGAAAGCAGGAGUUGAACAGCUACGGCUCAGCACAGUCGACAUGACCGGGGUCCCAACCUUGGCCAAUCUCCACAGAGGAGUCCAGUUUGCUCUCAAGUACCAGGCACUGGGCCAGUGUGUCUACGUGCAUUGUAAGGCUGGUCGAUCCAGAAGUGCCACAAUGGUGGCAGCCUAUCUGAUUCAGGUACACAACUGGAGCCCAGAGGAGGCUAUAGAAGCGAUCGCCAAAAUCCGGUCACACAUCUCCAUCAGGCCCAGCCAGCUGGAAGUUCUCAAAGAGUUCCACAAGGAGAUCACUGCAAGGGCAGCAAAGAAUUAACUACUGAUUAUCUCUCAUGCUGACUUAAGAGUCUGAAGACUGUGGAUAACAAAGAACUUGGAUCUCCCUGAGAUACAGUAACAACUUUACAGGACAAACCCAACCACACUGCAAAUGUGCUGACUGGUAGAUAAUGUGUCUCCUUUGCCUUCCUUCCUGAAAUAACACUUGGAUGGCUACAGAGAACAAGAUUGUCUGGCUAAAUCUUAUUUUCUUUGACAGGGAUAAGGAAAUAUUAAUUUUAACAGAAAUCUGUUGUUUCUAAUGUGUGUAAUGGCACUGUAAAUCAAAGACAUUUAAUGCUGGAGAAGGAAAGAAGUAUCUAGAUCUGUUCUUUAUUACUGUCAGAAUCCAAAUCUUUUUUGUAUGACUUGGCAAAGUGCUUGCCCAGCAUGUAUAAUAAGGCCCCGAAUUUGGUCCCUAGCAGGUCCAAAAAUAAAAAUAAAAAUAAAGUUUUUCCCUGGCCCUGUGGGACUCCCCUCACACUUGUGGGGAGUGAUCAGAAUGUUCAAGGAUGUAUGGGGUGCAGGCUGACUGCUGAGUCAGGACGUAAGAAGUCUACAAUUAGUUUCCCUUUAGAAGUCACUCAGUCAGGAGUCAACACAGACACACAAAUCAUUUCAGAAACAUUUAUUUAUAUGAACAGUUCCUAACUCUUUAUUUAGCUUAGAGCCUUUAAAAGACCAGAGACUGUUUUUAUUUGAGUCUGGAAAACAGUUUCUGCUAUUAAUCAGAAACAAUUGUUUCUACUUUCUGGCUUAUCUGUUUGUAUAAGCCAAAAAUCCAACCAAAGUUUCUUUUCCUGACAGACAGAUGAGAAAACAUUUGAAGGAACAUCUUGAAUUUUACAGUUGAUUCUUGCUGGUGAAGUACAUUUUUAGCUUAGUCCACUGUCCCAUCCAAAACUCUAAUACUUAAUUCUUUGUGGAAAAGUGACAAGUAGCCACUCGGCUGGCUAUAGACAAGAGGAAUGGGCCUCUGUCUUCCUGCAUGGGAGCCAAGGUGCUUCUUUUUAACACUGAUCUGGUAAGAGAGGCUGUGCCUAAAUCUGAGAAGAGGCUGGCUCUAAGCAGUCUGAAGUGAGGCACAGGAUCACAGGGGAUAAUGGGAGUUCAAGCAGCAGUAGUGUGAAAAGCCCUACACAGAGCAUCCCAUGAGCCUUGGGGGUGGGUUGAGGCGCUGCCUUUCUCACGUAUGCCCAAACUAACACAUUUCUCUGAACUGGGGAAUUACCGAUUUGACUGGGGAUACACCACAAGGGGAGGGCAAAGGAGUCAGCUGUUCUUCUCAUCACUGUUUUAGGCCAACACAAACUGCAAGUUGGUAAGCAGCACCUUAAUGCCUCUUGUGACAGUUACAGCUGAAGUGGCAGGGUCAAGCUUAUAGGUGUUGGCAUCGCCCUUCUUAUAUCGAUCCCUGAAGACGUAGAUGCUGCCAUUACAGCUGGCAAUCUUCCAGAGGGAUGGGGCAGAGCUCCAGGCCUCAGGAAGACAGAGCCGGGUGAAGCUGUCUAGAAGGGGAUUAUAGCACACUAGAGAGUCCCCCUCAGCCACAAUAAACACCAGAUCCUUAUGCACUGCUGCGUGCAUGCGGCCUGCAAAGGGCAGUACGUAGGGCUUCACGUGGCACUUGUCAGUUUCUGUGUCAAAGCACUGGAUCAGUCGGGAAGGUUUGGUAAAGAAGUCUAGAUCAUUCUCCUCACCCCCCAGUAAGUAGAUGAUUCCAUUCAGGUUGGCACCAGCAGCCCCAGACACAGCCACCUCUAACUGAGUUGUCUCUGUCCACACGUUAUCACCUACCCGGUAGUAGAUGACUGCAUUCGAGAGGGUAUCCUGUAGUGUCUUGCCGCCCAGGGAAUAUAUGGCAUCUUUCCCAGGCACAGAUACUAGGGUGUGCUGGAGGCGGUCGCGGGGCAAAGGAGCACACCACUCCCAGUCAACAGUGGCAUUGUUACAUUUCCACAUGCGUCGUGGGAUGGACCCUCCUACCACAUACAGGUCGCCACCAUGCUUGCAGGCUGCAGUGAUUUGGUGGCAUAAGCUGUUUUGGCCACUUACACUGAUGGAGUCAUCUUCUGCACAGUGCAAGGACACAGCCAAUGAGUGCGUGCGGGAUGACUCUUUUCCGAUCAGGUAAAUGUGCACAUUCUCCCCAAUUUCCUGUUGGCAAAAUUGAAAUUCUGACAUCAGCUCAUGUGAAGACUCUACUAAGACAGGUAAAAGGUCCGGGCCUCAUGUCCUGACUUUCCCUUGAUAUACAGGGCAGAGAAUUUGUUUUGUUCAUACUUGCAAUUUAGUUUAUUUACAUGUUUAUUCAAACAAGAUCUUGCUGCGUAGGUUCAUACUUAGAUUCUCCUGCAUCAGCUUCCAAGGGGAUUAUAGCAUGCACCACAUCUGCUCUUACUGUUUUUGUUUU